UGGGGAAUAUUGGACAAUGGGGGCAACCCUGAUCCAGCCAUGCCGCGUGUGUGAAGAAGGCCUUCGGGUUGUAAAGCACUUUCAGUUGGGAGGAAAAGUUUGUGGUUAAUACCCACGAGCCGUGACGUUACCAACAGAAGAAGCACCGGCUAACUCCGUGCCAGCAGCCGCGGUAAUACGGAGGGUGCAAGCGUUAAUCGGAAUUACUGGGCGUAAAGCGCGCGUAGGCGGCUUGUUAAGCGGAAUGUGA
rnacentral:rRNA from 1 species